GAUGAACGCUAGCUACAGGCUUAACACAUGCAAGUCGAGGGGAAACGAUAGAGAAAGCUUGCUUUUCUAGGCGUCGACCGGCGCACGGGUGAGUAACGCGUAUCCAACCUGGCCCAUACCACGGGAUAGCCCGUCGAAAGGCGGAUUAAUACCGUAUGCUGUCAUUAAGAUGCAUAUAUUGAUGACGAAAGGACUGGCGGUAUGGGAUGGGGAUGCGUCUGAUUAGCUUGUUGGCGGGGUAAUGGCCCACCAAGGCGACGAUCAGUAGCCGACCUGAGAGGGUGACCGGCCACAUUGGGACUGAGACACGGCCCAAACUCCUACGGGAGGCAGCAGUGGGGAAUAUUGCACAAUGGGGGAAACCCUGAUGCAGCAACGCCGCGUGAGUGAUGACGGUCUUCGGAUUGUAAAGCUCUGUCUUUAGGGACGAUAAUGACGGUACCUAAGGAGGAAGCCACGGCUAACUACGUG
rnacentral:rRNA from 1 species